rnacentral:rRNA from 2 species
AGAGUUUGAUCAUGGCUCAGAUUGAACGCUGGCGGCAGGCCUAACACAUGCAAGUCGAGCGGGGACUUCGGUCCUAGCGGCGAACGGGUGAGGAAUGCUUGGGAAUCUGCCUGGUAGUGGGGGAUAACGUUCCGAAAGGAACGCUAAUACCGCAUACGUCCUACGGGAGAAAGGGGGGGAUCUUCGGACCUCUCGCUAUCAGACGAGCCCAAGCGGGAUUAGCUAGUUGGUGAGGUAAAGGCUCACCAAGGCGACGAUCCCUAGCUGGUCUGAGAGGAUGAUCAGCCACACUGGAACUGAGACACGGUCCAGACUCCUACGGGAGGCAGCAGUGGGGAAUAUUGGACAAUGGGCGAAAGCCUGAUCCAGCCAUGCCGCGUGUGUGAAGAAGGCCUUCGGGUUGUAAAGCACUUUAAGCGAGGAGGAAGGUUCGUCACCUAAUACGUGACGGAAUUGACGUUACUCGCAGAAUAAGCACCGGCUAACUCUGUGCCAGCAGCCGCGGUAAUACAGAGGGUGCAAGCGUUAAUCGGAAUUACUGGGCGUAAAGCGCGCGUAGGCGGUUGUGUAAGUUGGAUGUGAAAUCCCCGGGCUUAACCUGGGCACUGCAUUCAAAACUGCACGGCUAGAGUAUUGGAGAGGAAGGUAGAAUUCCAGGUGUAGCGGUGAA